rnacentral:rRNA from 1 species
AGAGUUUGAUCCUGGCUCAGGAUGAACGCUAGCGGCAGGCCUAAUACAUGCAAGUCGAACGGUAAGAUCUCGCUUGCGAGAUACACGAGUGGCGAACGGGUGCGUAACGCGUAUGCAACCUACCUUCAACUGGAGGAUAGCCCCGAGAAAUCGGGAUUAAUACUUCAUAACAUUCAACUAUCACAUGUUAGUUGGAUUAAAGCUCCGGCGGUUGAAGAUGGGCAUGCGUGACAUUAGUUUGUUGGUGAGGUAACGGCUCACCAAGACUACGAUGUCUAGGGGUUCUGAGAGGAUUUUCCCCCACACUGGUACUGAGACACGGACCAGACUCCUACGGGAGGCAGCAGUAAGGAAUAUUGGUCAAUGGACGAAAGUCUGAACCAGCCACGCCGCGUGCAGGAUGACAGCCCUAUGGGUUGUA